rnacentral:tRNA from 1 species
UGGUUUCCCGAGUGGCCAAAGGGGACAGACUGUAAAUCUGCUGCAACUUGCUUCGAUGGUUCGAAUCCAUCACCAUCCA